rnacentral:rRNA from 1 species
AGCGAACGCUGGCGGCAGGCCUAACACAUGCAAGUCGAGCGCUCGUGGCAACACGGGAGCGGCAGACGGGUGAGUAACACGUGGGAACGUGCCCUUCGGUUCGGAAUAACCCAGGGAAACUUGGAUUAAUACCGGAUACGUCCGCAAGGAGAAAGAUUUAUCGCCGAAGGAGCGGCCCGCGUCCGAUUAGCUUGUUGGUGAGGUAAUGGCUCACCAAGGCGACGAUCGGUAGCUGGUCUGAGAGGAUGAUCAGCCACACUGGGACUGAGACACGGCCCAGACUCCUACGGAGGCAGCAGUGGGGAAUAUUGGACAAUGGGCGCAAGCCUGAUCCAGCCAUGCCGCGUGAGUGAUGAAGGCCCUAGGGUUGUAAAGCUCUUUCGGCGGGGAAGAUAAUGACGGUACCCGCAGAAGAAGCCCCGGCUAACUUCGUGCCAGCCGCCGCCGUAACAC